UCUGGUGUGUGAACGACCAGACAUCCAAUAAAGGCCUUUCUCUGCUUCACUUUCUUCCUGCAGCAACUUCGCAAUGGAGAACAACGAAGCCCCCUCCCCCUCCGGAUCCAACAACAACGAUUUUCCCGUACUUCCGCCACCGCCGAACGCGAAUAACGACAACUACAAUCAAUUUGGGGACCAUCAAAUCAGGAACAACAAUGCGGCCCAAAAGAAGCUGCAGCAGACCCAAGCCAAGGUCGACGAGGUGGUCGGGAUAAUGCGUGUGAACGUGGAGAAGGUACUGGAGCGUGAUCAGAAGCUAUCGGAGCUGGGCGAGCGUGCGGAUCAGCUGGAGCAGGGAGCUUCCCAGUUCGAGCAGCAGGCCGGCAAGCUGAAGCGCAAGCAGUGGUGGGCCAACAUGAAGAUGAUGAUCAUUCUGGGCGUGAUAGCCGUUGUGCUGCUCAUCAUCGUUCUGGUGUCGCUUUUCAAUUGAUACAAUUAAACACACAUUUACAGAAAAACAAAAGCAAAGCCUUCAAAAAUAAUGUAAUUCCGUUUUCCAAUCAGCAAAGUUAAGGUUCAAGUUAAUCAUUAAACACGUUUGUGAACGUGUACUGGCUCCUACUAUAUACACCUUAAAUUGUAUAUUAUAUUUUAUAAAAGUCUUAAGCUAAGCAACUCGAAAGCUCCAAGUGUCCGUGUGGCCGUCUAGCAGUGACAGCGGCAGUGGUGGAGGAAACAAGGCCAUCACCCAAGCGCCACCGCACUAAAGCCUUCUAGG
rnacentral:misc_RNA from 1 species